rnacentral:snoRNA from 1 species
CCCUGUAUCGAAAGUGACUACGGCAUGACUGUUGUCCUAGUCAUUGAUAAUACAGGAAUAGUGAUGAAAGAUUUUCCCGUGUUUGUUGGAAUACCUGUCCUGUCAAACCCUGUAUCUUUCGAACA